AACUGAUACUACCUGCGGGAACCUGCGGAAGGAUCAUUACCGAGUUAUCCAACUCCCAACCCCUGUGAAUUAUACCUUUAAUUGUUGCUUCGGCGGGACUUCGCGCCCGCCGGGGACCCAAACCUUCUGAAUUUUUAAUAGGUAUCUUCUGAGUGGUUAAAAAAAUGAAUCAAAACUUUUAACAAUGGAUCUCU
rnacentral:misc_RNA from 1 species